UCUCUGUCAGCGGAUGAUCAGACAGCGGAAAUUACCGUGGGAGAUGCCGAGAUAACCGUUAUUCUUGAGACCAAAGUAAACAAGAUAUGAACAUCGUAACAUGCUCUAGCCAUCACAUUUUAGAGCAAACCUCUUUUUCUACCCGUUAAUCCCGCCCUCCCUGUCCAUCUGGCCAAUAGCAGCAGCUCAUACUGAACCACUUCCUUUGCCGCUAAAACUAAAUUCGCCCCAGCUUCGAUCUUGUCAAGCUGCCUAUAUAUGUGGAUAAAAACAACAGGAGAUAAGUUCAUUGUUACUGAAAUCAAAAUUUGAAAAUGGGAAUCUCUGGACUACUACAGUUCAUCAAAGAUGCUGCAGAGCCCAUCAGUGUGAAAAAAUACAGAGGCCAGACAGUAGCUGUGGACACGUACUGCUGGCUGCAUAAAGGAGCAUUUUCAUGUGCCGAGAAGCUCGCUAAAGGAGAACCAACUGAUCAGUAUGUUUGGUACUGCAUGAAAUUUGUGGACAUGUUGUUGACCUUCGGUGUCAAACCAGUACUGGUGUUUGAUGGACGCAAUCUGCCUUCCAAACAAGUGGUGGAAAAGGCUCGCAGAGACCGCAGAGAAGCCAACCUUCAAAAAGGCCGACAGCUGCUACGUGAAGGCAAAUUGUCUGAGGCCAGAGACUGUUUUACCCGCUGUGUUAACAUCACACCAGCCAUGGCUCAUAAUCUUAUUAAGGCUGCGAGGGCGAGAGGGGUGGACUGUGUGGUGGCUCCAUAUGAAGCUGAUGCUCAGCUUGCUUACCUCACUAAAUCUGGUUUGGCCCAGGCUGUCAUCACAGAAGACUCUGACCUGCUGGCAUUUGGCUGCAAAAAGGUGAUCCUCAAAAUGGACAAGCAGGGCAACGGUCUGGAGAUAGACCAAAGUAACCUGGGCCGCUGUCGCACCCUGGGGAAUGUUUUCACAGAGGAGAAGUUUCGGUACAUGUGCAUCCUCUCUGGCUGCGAUUAUCUAGCCUCUCUGCAUGGCAUUGGUCUGGGAAAGGCCUGCAAGCUGCUUCGGCUGGCCAAAGACCCUGAUAUCGUCAAGGUGAUCAGAAAGAUGGGCCAGUACCUGAAGAUAAAGCUAGACGUGCCUGAACAGUACAUCGAAGGAUUCCUCAGAGCCAAUAACACCUUCCUCUACCAGUUGGUCUUUGAUCCUGUCAGGAAGAAGGUUGUACCCCUCAACCCUUACCCAGAACACAUUGACCCAGCCACCCUCAGCUACGCUGGACUUAAUGUAGGAGAUGACAAAGGCUUGCAGAUGGCCUUAGGAAACCUUGACAUCAACACAAUGGAGACAAUAGAUGACUUCAGCCCAGACAAACCCAUUCCACAGCUAUCUAAACCCAACAGUAACUGCUGGAAUGACUUACCAGCCCCCACUGGGCAUAGUAUCUGGAGUGGAGGCUACAAGCCAGCCUCUGCUCCCCCUCCCAAUUCUAAUGCUUCUUCAGAAAGGUCUCCCUCCACCAGGGGGAAGGAGAGAGUCAUCAGCCUAGAAGCUCUGAGGCUGCCCUGCAGAGAGCUGCAGGUGAAAAGACCAAGACAAGACUCUAGUAUAUCAGACCGGGACAUGCUGCAGCAGUACUCCUCCUCCAGUCAGAAACGAUCCAGGUCAGACCAGCAGCCUGACAAGCCAACAUUAACCUGCCAGUCCCGGCCAUGCAACCGCUUUGCCACCCUGCUACAGAGGAGGAACCAGGAAGCUGAGGAGGAAGGCAAGGCCACAUGCAGCAGAUUCUUCAUCAGUUCCAAUUCUGCAGCCAGUCUGAGCACUAAGGAAUCGGCUCAGGAGGAUUUACCUCAUGGUAUGUACCACACAGCUGUCAGUCCUACUAAGAAGAAGUCCUCUCCCACCAUCCAGACCAAUGACAGCGAUGGUCCCGAUUUUUCAUCUGUGGACACCCCCAGCCCAACUACAUCACCUAGCACCACAUCCCCCAGUUCAGCCAGGCAAGGCCUCAGACUGUUCCACUGGUCAGAUAGCUCCUCUUCCAUGGAACGAUCAAAAACUCCUAAGUCGACCUCAGGCCUGGCCGCCCUGCAGCAAUUUCAGCAUCAGAAGGAGUGUUUUUCCUCUUCUCCAAAGACCUAUAGACCCUCUGGAGAUGCACCAUCCUCAUGUCCAUCAGCAUUCGAAAUGAAUUCACGCACAGAUUCUGGGCCAGAGCAGAGUCCCACACACUCAACAAAAGUAGAUAAGAAGCCCAGCAUUCUGAGAUCAAAGGUUUCAGGUUUGUCAAAGCCAAAGUCCAGCAGACAGGGUAGAGCAGCAAAUAUGCAAAUGUUGGGCCCAGCCAGGGCCAGUGGACUGAGGAAGAAGACUGUGGGUUCUGGGAAAAAAGUCUCCUUCCCCAAUAAUGAGAACAACCCUGGUGUCCAGGCCACCAUCAGCAGCCUCUGGAAGAACUUCAGCUACAAAAAAGAUUCCCAGAAGAUGAAUCUCUGUAAGGAAGAAAAGUCAAAACGCAUGUCUCCAGUCAAAGACAACCUUCUGGCCAGCUCACCUCAGACAGACAUGAACUUAAUAACCAGCUUCUGAUAGAUGCUUUGAAGGUUUUAACCAGUGUUGAUUGCUCUGUGUGGGAGUGAAGCUUUUAAACAUACCAUAUUCUGCGGAGUAUAGCAGCACGACAAGAACCCCAAAUAUACAGCCAGAGUCAAAGAACUAUCUUCAGUGACAAGAACAACAAGGAAUCCUGCAACAGAUGUAUCCCCCACAGAGCCCUGAUCUCAACAUCAUGGAGGGAUUACAUGAAGAGACAGAAGACAGUGGAACAGCAUAAAUCUACAGAACAACUGUGGCAAGUUCUCCAAGAUGCCUGGAACAACCUACCUGCCAAGUACUUUGAAAAACUGUGCAAAGUGUACCAAGGAGAACUGGUGCUGUUUUAAAGGCAAAGGGUGGUCACAGCAAAUGUUGUUUGAUUUAGGUUUUAUCUGUUCCCUGCACUUUGGAUGAUGUUUACUGACACACACAAACUAUUCAUGACAUUAUUUUUCAGAACAUUAUCACUUUACUUCUAAUGCCUAAAACCUUUACAGAGUUUAUACGGGGCCCCUUAACACAAUUCAAAUGUCUGUGAGUUAGCAGUUCCAUGAAAUGGAUAUUUCCCCUCUAAACCUAUCAGGUUGGAAACCACUGGACUAAAUCCUAGCUGUAUAUAAAGUAGUUAAAACCAGCUCUACCUGGACCAGCUACAACAAUAAAAUGCUAUAAUAUAUUACUUGCAGCAGCAGUCUUUAAAGUAUGUGUGGAACACAUACUUUUACUUUUGACAUUUUUAAAUAUAUUUAGCUGAUAAUACUUUUGUACUUUUACUUUGGUAGGAUUUUGAAUGCAGGACCUUUACUUUUAAUAAGUACUUUUUCAUUGUUGUAUUGGCACUUUACUUAAGUAAAAGGUCUGACUACAUCCUCCAUCUCUGAGGAAGAGAAACCGCUGAGUUUUACACUAGGUUGACCUUCCUCUCCAUAUGAACUUUAUCUUUAAUGUCAGUAAUGAUAGCUGUAGUGUAGAAGUGUUGUCAAAGGGGAUGAAUGUUUAUGAAGGGAAUUUUAUUACAUUUGUCGUUGCUCCAUGUUGCUGUGGGGCAGAAUACCUGAGCUAAUCCAGAUACCAGGCAUACUUCAGUCCCUUUCAACCAGCCCAACAUAUUGCUCAAGGACCAGUGGCCUCACUGACUGCUCUAGCCUUGACACCUGUUUCGUAGUUAAGACACAAUCUACAAUACACUACUCUUAAAGGAAGAGACAAUGGAUUUAAAAGAGAUGAGAAUAGAUCUUACACAUGUAGAUUGAUUACUUUAAAAGUAAUCAUUUCAUAAUACAGGGUUAGGUCACUUAAUAUGUCCUCUACAUACUUGGGCAGAUGUGAUGAUAGAUUUACGAUUAUCCAGUUUUGUGUGGAAUGCUUAUGGAGGUAAACUUGCUGUGUAACAGAUGCAGAAUGUUUGGAAUGCCUAUUGUACUGAAUUAAGUUGAGCAGAGUAGAUGUAAUUAACUCCUUCAUUGCAUAAAACUAUACAGUAUAACUACUUACCUACAGUAAAUACAUAUGUAUCCAACAAUGUUAGAGGUUUAAACAGUAAGAACUGAAAUCCUUUUCUCUGCACAACAGUGUGCCAAGAAUGCAGUUUCACAGCAUUCCCUUUUAAAUCUGACAUGAGCAGAGACUGUAU